rnacentral:rRNA from 1 species
GACGAACGCUGGCGGCGUGCCUAAUACAUGCAAGUUGAGCGCUGAAGGUUGGUACUUGUACCAACUGGAUGAGCAGCGAACGGGUGAGUAACGCGUGGGGAAUCUGCCUUUGAGCGGGGGACAACAUUUGGAAACGAAUGCUAAUACCGCAUAAAAACUUUAAACACAAGUUUUAAGUUUGAAAGAUGCAAUUGCAUCACUCAAAGAUGAUCCCGCGUUGUAUUAGCUAGUUGGUGAGGUAAAGGCUCACCAAGGCGAUGAUACAUAACCGACCUGAGAGGGUGAUCGGCCACAUUGGGACUGAGACACGGCCCAAACUCCUACGGGAGGCAGCAGUAGGGAAUCUUCGGCAAUGGGCGAAAGUCUGACCGAGCAAAGCCGCGUGAGUGAAGAAGGUUUUCGGAUCGUAAAACUCUGUUGGUAGAGAAGAACGUUGGUGAGAGUGGAAAGCUCAUCAAGUGACGGUAACUAACCAGAAAGGGACGGCUAACUACGUG